UCUACGAGGAGACCCGUGGUGUGCUG
rnacentral:piRNA from 1 species